UGUUAGUUUCGAAAUCUUCUU
rnacentral:piRNA from 1 species